rnacentral:lncRNA from 1 species
AAAGGACAGUCAAAAUCACAUCCAUAUGCAUCAUUAUCUCACAAAAUUUCAUACAUAAGUAGCUUAACAUUCAAAGUCUGUAGAAGGGUGUCCUCAAUCUUACUAUCCACCGUGAAAGCAUCCCAAACCAGAAUUUAGGCCAAACUGGGACAAGAACAUUCCUCCUGGGUUUGGCAGCACUAAAGUUUAUUGAGAUGCCACAAGGAUCGCACAACUCCCCCACUCACUCAUCAGCUAUGCUUACAUUAAGAAUCUCUCUCUAGC